rnacentral:rRNA from 1 species
AAGCUUAGUGGCGGACGGGUGAGUAACGCGUGAGUAACCUGCCCUCGAAGUGGGGAAUAACAUCGAGAAAUCGGUGCUAAUACCGCAUAACGUCGGAGAACCGCAUGAUUUUCCGACCAAAGGAUUUAUUCGCUUGAGGAUGGACUCGCGUCCGAUUAGCUAGUUGGUGAGGUAACGGCCCACCAAGGCGACGAUCGGUAGCCGAACUGAGAGGUUGAUCGGCCACAUUGGGACUGAGACACGGCCCAGACUCCUACGGGAGGCAGCAGUGGGGAAUAUUGGGCAAUGGGCGAAAGCCUGACCCAGCAAUGCCGCGUGAAGGAUGAAGGUCUUCGGAUUGUAAACUUCUUUGAUUGGGGAAGAAUAAAUGACCUACCCAAAGAACAAGUCACGGCUAACUACGUGCCAGCCGCCGC